rnacentral:rRNA from 1 species
AACGAACGCUGGCGGCAGGCCUAACACAUGCAAGUCGAACGCUUCAGCAAUGAAGAGUGGCAGACGGGUGAGUAACGCGUGGGAACCUUCCCAGUGGUACGGAAUAGCCCAGGGAAACUUGGGGUAAUACCGUAUAAGCCCCUCGGGGGAAAGAUUUAUCGCCAUUGGAUGGGCCCGCGUCGGAUUAGCUUGUUGGUGAGGUAAAAGCUCACCAAGGCGACGAUCCGUAGCUGGUCUGAGAGGAUGAUCAGCCACACUGGGACUGAGACACGGCCCAGACUCCUACGGGAGGCAGCAGUGGGGAAUAUUGGACAAUGGGCGCAAGCCUGAUCCAGCCAUGCCGCGUGAGUGAUGAAGGCCUUAGGGUUGUAAAGCUCUUUUGGCGGGGACGAUAAUGACGGUACCCGCAGAAUAAGCUCCGGCUAACUUCGUG